UGGCGCCCGGCCCGCAGGCACGUGCGUCCUGGGCCGCCCGCCCCGCAGGGUCCCUGCUGGCUCGCCGAAACCGGCCCGUGGCAACACCACCUCUCCGCCGCAGGGUCCCACGUGCCUCGGGCCUUCCUGUCCCAGCUGCCCCCAGCCCCCGCCUCCUCCCUCCAUUCCGCCCAGCACUCCCAGGCGAACAGAGCUCGGUGCGGCCGCGUCUCGCUCGCCUCGUGCGAGAAGAACGAGGAUAAUGCCCCCCGCAAAACGGGCUUGGUAUUAAUUGCACUGCCAUUUGAGGUACCAUGGCAGCAGAACUGCAUUGCCUUGUCUUCCUGUAAUACUUCCUCGUCCCAGUUACAAGACAGAGGAGAUCCUGGCAGAUGAUUACCAAUGCUUCAAGAGCUGCUAAGCAAAAUCUAAGGAGUUUUCGGCUGCUGCAACAGCCUGACUCUCAAAAAAUGAACUGGUUAUGUCAAGACACAGCAGUGUGUAGGAAUACACAUCCUUCUGCCUAUUGCAAGACUCUCAGUUAUUUUCAGGUGCCACCCACACUGAUACUCAUUGUUGUGCAUUUCUGUCCUGUAUGGUGCACUACAGCCCAAGAGAAUAUAGAGCUUAAAAAUACAUUAAAAAAAAACCCUAAUAAAGUGUAUCCAAAUACGCAAGAGAGCUAGACGAGGAAUGACACAGCAGAGGAGAAAAUUAAGUAUUUUUCAGUAAAAUAAAUAUCUUACAGAGGAA